CUUUAGAACAACACUCAGUCAAGCUCUCUGUAAACUAAAUAACAAAGAUGCAUAACUCCUAACAUUUAAAAAUAUUAGCAUAGUACAUGCACAUUUUAGGUAAAUUAAUUUGAAUCUAAAAAAUAAUUCUAAGGACUAUUUCUCUUUUGUAGAGAAAUUCUUCUUUAGAAGAUAAUGCUGCACACUGAAAUACCUCACAUUAAGUGUGUGGGCAGACCUAGGCAAAGGCAAAGGACUGGUCCCUCUGCCAUCCCACAUCAGAUCACCUGCACAACUCUCAGAAGUUGUCUCCGGCACCAGCUCUCUUCUAAUGACAAAAUAUCAUCAUAUCUAAGGUGGGACAAGGUAUGAGAGUAUAAUCAAUUUAAACAUUCAGAUAUGCACAGCAGUCUAGGAAAAUAGCUGAGAAAGGAAAGAUGUAAAUGGGAAGUGAUAAAUUCAGUAAAGAUCAAGCAGAAUUACCCAAAUGGGAUUUAAUUUCAGAAAAGAAGUCUCGGAGCUCUUACUAGCACUGCUUUUGAGUAUCAAGUGAUCAUGAGACCAGGACCAUAGCUGUAACUCUCUCCAGAGAUUGGCACAGCAAGGAACACUGCACCUACAAUUCCUAUGCUAAAUCACAUCUCCAUAAUCCUUCAGAUGGGAGCUUGGCAUUUCAUCAGCCCCUACAACACAACCUUAAAACACCUUUACAGCUUUUUAACUCACAGUUCAUUAAGACCAUAAUCCAAUUAAAAAAAGGUGAAAAAACCACCACCAAAACUACAUGUCCUAAGAAGUAUUUAAGAUGUGCUUCAAAUACAGCUGGUGCCUCUGAGUUUCCUUAGGCCUGAACCACACGCUCUGCUUGGCAGGACAGCAAGACACAACAGAAAUAUUUCUGUCAGUCGCUAGGAACCUCUUUUUCUUCUCAGAUUUGUUUUUUCAGUCUCUGAAGAUCCCAAAGCAGACCUUUGCUGUGCCAAAUUCUUGCUGCGUGUCACCUGCUUUCAGCUGCACAGGGUUCCUACUUGACUGAACAUGAGAGGAGGAGACAAUCUCAACUCAAAGCCAAAGCAAUACUCCCAACUUUUACAUUUUUAUUUUAAUGAAGUGUUUAAGGCAUUUGGAAACUUGCUUUUCAGAACAGAAGGAAAGUGAUAUACACAUCCUGGGAAUCACUCAGUGUGGAACAGCAUCUGCUCCCUGUAAUCAUAGUUACAUCAAGUCUCAAGGAAGAUAAUUUUAUAUUACGACUGUGGCCUGUCACUUGCAAAGCUGUGUGGUCUGCAUAACUCAUAGUUGCCUAUGAUCAAAAGAGGAAAAAAUGGAGGAUGUUUCUACCAAUCUAGAGAUAAUAUCUCCCAUGACAUGAUGAUCCGAGAUGAGGAUGAGAAGAAGCUGUCAGUGUAACUGCACCUGUGUCCCUGCACAGAGGCAUUUUCCUCACAGCAUCAGCGGAUGCAGUUUGAAACUUCCCAGGAUCAUGCGAUUUCUCCUGACUAAUGUGGCUUUCUAACUGGGAGGGGGGAGAUGAAGAUGACAGAUUGCUAAAGGCUUUUAAAAAGAUGCUGCUUGAAAGAAUUAUUGCACAUUGAUCUCAUAUUCAGCCAUUAAUAAGACUUUCCUAGCACUGGUGUUUAAAAGCCUUGGUCAUAUUCUCCUGGCUGGUAACCACCUCCCUCCUGAGCCCGGCUGACAAAGAGCCAGGCGCUGCUGACACGGCUGGUAUUAGACAAUGACUUCAAGGCAGCCAAAGAGGCAUUUAGAUUUCCUAUUCUGCUCUCACUGCCACAGCAGCACAGACCUUGGUUCUCCAGCACUACUGUAUCAUCUGCUUUACAAGUAGGCUCUGACAACUACUUUAAAGCUAUUAAUCUAUUACUGUUCCCAGAUAUUUUUUGAUGCACAAUAUCUUGGCCAGUGUCAGAACUCGG